rnacentral:rRNA from 1 species
UACGAAGGGGGCUAGCGUUGUUCGGAAUUACUGGGCGUAAAGCGCGCGCAGGCGGCUUCUCAAGUCAGGGGUGAAAGCCCAGAGCUCAACUCUGGAACUGCCUUUGAGACUGAGAGGCUUGAGUACGGGAGAGGUGAGUGGAAUUCCCAGUGUAGAGGUGAAAUUCGUAGAUAUUGGGAAGAACACCGGUGGCGAAGGCGGCUCACUGGCCCGUUACUGACGCUCAGGCGCGACAGCGUGGGGAUCAAACAGG